rnacentral:rRNA from 1 species
CCUACGGGCGGCAGCAGUGGGGAAUAUUGGACAAUGGGCGAAAGCCUGAUCCAGCCAUGCCGCGUGUGUGAAGAAGGCCUUCGGGUUGUAAAGCACUUUCAGUGGGGAAGAAAGCCUUGGGGCUAAUACCCUCGAGGAAGGACAUCACCCACAGAAGAAGCACCGGCUAACUCCGUGCCAGCAGCCGCGGUAAUACGGAGGGUGCGAGCGUUAAUCGGAAUUACUGGGCGUAAAGCGCGCGUAGGCGGUCUGAUAAGCCGGUUGUGAAAGCCCCGGGCUCAACCUGGGAACGGCAUCCGGAACUGUCAGGCUAGAGGGCAGGAGAGGAAGGUAGAAUUCCCGGUGUAGCGGGGAAAUGCGUAGAGAUCGGGAGGAAUACCAGUGGCGAAGGCGGCCUUCUGGACUGACACUGACGCUGAGGUGCGAAAGCGUGGGUAGCAAACAGGAAUAGAUACCCGAGUAGUC